rnacentral:rRNA from 1 species
UACGAAGGGGGCUAGCGUUGCUCGGAAUUACUGGGCGUAAAGGGCGCGUAGGCGGCACUGUUAGUCAGGCGUGAAAGUCCUGGGCUCAACCUGGGGACUGCGCUUGAUACGGCAGAGCUUGAGGAUGGAAGAGGGUCGCGGAAUUCCCAGUGUAGAGGUGAAAUUCGUAGAUAUUGGGAAGAACACCGGUGGCGAAGGCGGCGACCUGGUCCAUUACUGACGCUGAGGCGCGACAGCGUGGGGAGCAAACAGG